GUCCACGCCCUAAACGAUGCGGGCUAGACGUCGGGGGGCAUGCCCCUCGGUGUCGCAGCGAACGCGUUAAGCCCGCCGCCUGGGGAGUACGGCCGCAAGGUUAAAACUCAAAGGAAUUGACGGGGGCCCGCACAAGCGGUGGAGCAUGUGGUUUAAUUCGACGCAACGCGCAGAACCUUACCAGCCCUUGACAUGGCGGUUGUGGACACUCGAGAGGGGGUCCUUCAGUUCGGCUGGGCCGUCACAGGUGCUGCAUGGCUGUCGU
rnacentral:rRNA from 1 species